rnacentral:rRNA from 1 species
CUGGGCGUAAAGCGUGCGCAGGCGGUUUUGUAAGUCUGUCGUGAAAUCCCCGGGCUCAACCUGGGAAUGGCGAUGGAGACUGCAAGGCUAGAGUUUGGCAGAGGGGGGUAGAAUUCCACGUGUAGCAGUGAAAUGCGUAGAUAUGUGGAGGAACACCGAUGGCGAAGGCGGCCCCCUGGGUCAAAACUGACGCUCAUGCACGAAAGCGUGGGGAGCAAACAGG